rnacentral:rRNA from 1 species
CACUAAACUUGCCUCCUUUGCGUCGUGUAGUCGGCGCGUUGGAAUUUGUGGCAGAUGUGAGGUGUCUUGAUUGUUGUGUCUUUGUUGAUGCGUCGGUCAAGUCCCUUGAAAGUCGGACGCGUAUCUUUGCGUGCGUUGGGUGCCGGUGGGCUGUGGGACGCGUCUGUUGACGAGUCUGGCGACCUUUGGCGCGUGCAUGCUUGGGCACUGUGUAUUGGCGGUAUGUUAGGCUGCGUUCGCGCGGCUUUGACAAUGCAGCUGAUGCGUGUGUUUGGGCUGUGGUGCUGUAUGGGUGAACCGGAUGGUCGAUGGGUUUUAUAUGCGUUUCUCGUGUCUGUUUUUAUCCGGUGUUCUGUAUCGUGCGUGGAGUGUGUCAUCAUUUGGGAAUUUGUACGUCUUCUUGUUUUGAGGGCGUAUCUCAU